UCGAUACUUCAUCACAUUCUCUCAUCCACUAUAGGUUCUUCAUCUUGCAGAGUUUCCCAGACGAAAAAUUGGAAAACUUCCCGAUUCUCCAAGAACUAUAUUUUUAUGAAGUUUUUCAUCUCCCAUAAGUAUUGGCUUUUCAUAUUCAAAUCGUCUCCGAGUAUUACUGCAAUUUUGAGGAAUUUUAAUAUUUUCAUUGGUGAAUAAGGACCGACAAGCAGAAGAUAUUGAAGUUGAUUCUUGAAAACUUUAUUCACUAUAUCUCAUUUGGCUGGUAGUGAAUCUUCUAAGUUCUAACCCUCAUUCACAUGUUCCAUUUAAUCUUAGCUUUAUAAAUUUAUGAUAUGGCAUGCAUAAAAGUCACUCGAGAAUGUUUUUUACUGCAAAUCUCAAAACUAUUUAAGGAGAACAUAUUAGUGACUAAUAUGAUUAAUUUUGGGAUAAUUUAAAAGGAAAGAAAAGUAAUAUAAUUUCCCGCACAAGACAAUAAUUGCAUAUUCUUUGAAGUAAAUGACCGAAUCAUCGAUAAGAACAACGAGCAAUAAUAUUUAAAUAUUUUAUUUCUAACUGCACAAGUUCAUGGUGAACAUAUUAUGUCGUUAAACCUUCAAUUGAUAGGGUUAAUAUUGUUCUAUUUUUGUUGGUAAAAUUUUAAAUAUGUGACAUAAUGUAUUGUAGACAUGGUGUAUUUGAAGAUGCAGGAUUAUGUGCUUGAUCAUAUCCAUCACAAAUUAAAAAAUGAACCAAACUUCAAUAUAAUAGAUAGUGUUUACAGGUCCCCGAGUGAGAUUCAGCAGGAAAGAUUGAAAAAUCUGAGCUCUAUUUUAGAAUCUCCCGCAAAGAAGAACUCAGGGACGGAAAUAAGCUCCUAAAGAAUGCACAUUGUUAUUCUCUUUCCCAGAUUGUUCUACUCAGGUUGUUGUUUUGCCUUUCUGGUUAGUUGUUCCUUCAAUUUAUUGGAGCCUAAGUUGUUUUGGUGGUAAAUAUUGUAGAUUAUAAAAAAUGGUAUUUUUAACUCAGAUAACACUUUCAAAUAUCUUUAACUUUUGGAGCCUGAUUGUUUCGUUAGCUGAUGAAUAUGUAGAUUAGAAUGGUUCAGUCUUUUGAGCUGCAUGUUGAAUUUUUAGUCAAAUGUCUUGAUGGAUCACUAGCUAAUUGUUGAAAUUCAUCCGACUCAUAAUUUUGAUUGGGGACAAAAUAUAGUAUCAUAGUUUUGCCAAAAUUAAUGAACUGUUUGGAGGCGAAAAGAGUGAUUCUUUUCGUUGGACUACAAAUUGACCAUUUUCAUAUAUUUUUAUCUGUUAUCAUCGAAGUUCACAAAUACUUUGAGGAAGUUGGUAGGUGAGAAAUGGAUGUACUAAGAUCAGAUAAGUUUACUAUCAGCAAACUCUUCAGCUAAAAAGAGCUUACCAGAAGGUUAAUUGGACAAGGCUGAUUUACAACAAAAUAUACCCUCCUAAAUGGUCAACUUAUCCUAUAUAGCAAGCUGUUUACAAAGGGAAGGUUAGCCAGAUGAAGAUGCUUGGAGGAUGAGAAGUGUGGACUACACAUCAAGGAUAAUGAGUAUGCUGAACAUCUCUUUUUUAUGUGCCCUUAUUUAGUGCAAGUCUGGAAUACCAUGCUAAUAUAACUGCAAAUUCAAAGACAAGCUCAAGGAUGGAAGUGGGAUGAAUUAGAAAAUUACAAACUUCAAAGACAAUAGUUUACAUGCAGAAGUUUUUAGAAUGACAUUAGCUGCGGGAGUUUAUAUGGCGAAAAAGAAAUUAGAGGAUCUUCCAAACAGAGAACAAAAGGCCAUAAAUCCUCAACAUGUUGUUAAUUCAAGAUACUCAUACUAGAGGAGUUAGUGAAAGCAACAUUGUUUAGAAAGUUAUUGGCUAUCUGGUAAUGUUUCAUUGUGAAAUUUGAAAAAAAAAAAAAAAUUUGUUUUCAAAGUGAAAAAUGAUAUAUGAAAUUUGGAAUUGUGUUUGGUCAUGAAUAUAAAUUGGAGUUGUUUUU